AAGACCUUGCGCUUUUGGAGCGGCCGAUGCCUGAUUAGCUUGUUGGUAAGGUAAAAGCUUACCAAGGCUUCGAUCAGUAGCUGGUCUGAGAGGACGGCCAGCCACACUGGGACUGAGACACGGCCCAGACUCCUACGGGAGGCAGCAGUGGGGAAUUUUGGGCAAUGGGGGCAACCCUGAUCCAGCCAUGCCGCGUGAGUGAAGAAGGCCUUCGGGUUGUAAAGCUCUUUCAGCCGGAACGAAACGGUUACGGUUAAUACCCGUGACUACUGACGGUACCGGAAGAAGAAGCACCGGCUAACUACGUGCCAGCAGCCGCGGUAAUACGUAGGGUGCGAGCGUUAAUCGGAAUUACUGGGCGUAAAGCGUGCGCAGGUGGUUUUGUAAGUCAGAUGUGAAAGCCCCGGGCUCAACCUGGGAACU
rnacentral:rRNA from 1 species